AUUGAACGCUGGCGGCAGGCCUAACACAUGCAAGUCGAGCGGAGCGGCGGACGGGUGAGUAAUGCCUAGGAAUCUGCAAGGUAGUGGGGGAUAACGUCCGGGAACGGGCGCUAAUACCGAAAACUAUCAGAUUCGCCUAGGGGGGAUUAGCUAGUUGGUGGGGUAAAGGCCUAACAAGGCGACGAUCCGUAACUGGUCUGAGAGGAUGAUCAGUCACACGAGACCUGAGACACGGUCCAGAAUCCUACGGGAGGCAGCAGUGGGGAAUAGUGGACAAGGGGCGAAAGCCUGAUCCAGCCAUGCCGGGUGUGUGAAGAAGGUCUUCGGAUUGUAAAGCACUUUAAGUUGGGAGGCGUUACCAACAGAAUAAGCACCGGCUAACUUCGUGCCAGCAGCCGCGGUAAUUC
rnacentral:rRNA from 1 species